rnacentral:tRNA from 1 species
CUCCUCAUAACUCAAUAGGAUAGAGUAACAGUCUUCUAAACUGUAGGUUACAGGUUCGAGUCCUGUUGAGGAGACCA